rnacentral:tRNA from 1 species
CGGGGCGUAGCGCAGUUUGGUAGCGCGCCUGCUUCGGGAGCAGGAGGUCGCAGGUUCAAAUCCUGUCGCUCCGACCA